rnacentral:rRNA from 1 species
GACGAACCGUGCGAACGUUGUUCGGAUUCACUGGGCUUAAAGGGCGCGUAGGCGGGCGAUAAAGUCGAGGGGUGAAAUCCUUCGGCUCAACCGGAGAACAGCUUCUGAUACUGAUCGUCUUGAGGGAGGUAGGGGCAUGUGGAACUUCCGGUGGAGCGGUUGAAAUGCGUAGAUAUCGGAAGGAACGCCGGUGGCGAAAGCGAACGUGCUGGACCUCUUCUGACGCUGAGGCGCGAAAGCCAGGGUAGCGAACGGG